AGAGUUUGAUCAUGGCUCAGGACGAACGCUGGCGGCGUGCUUAACACAUGCAAGUCGAACGGAAAGGCCCUUCGGGGUACUCGGGUGGCGAACGGGUGAGUAACACGUGGGUGAUCUGCCCUGCACUUUGGGAUAAGCCUGGGAACCUGGGUCUAAUACCGAAUAUGACCAUGCGCCUCCUGGUGUGUGGUGGAAAGCUUUUGCGGUGUGGGAUGGGCCCGCGGCCUAUCAGCUUGUUGGUGGGGUAAUGGCCUACCAAGGCGACGACGGGUAGCCGGCCUGAGAGGGUGACCGGCCACACUGGGACUGAGAUACGGCCCAGACUCCUACGGGAGGCAGCAGUGGGGAAUAUUGCACAAUGGGCGCAAGCCUGAUGCAGCGACGCCGCGUGAGGGAUGACGGCCUUCGGGUUGUAAACCUCUUUCAGCACAGACGAAGCGCAAGUGACGGUAUGUGCAGAAGAAGGACCGGUCAACUACGUGCCAGCAGCCGCGGUAAUACGUAGGGUCCGAGCGUUGUCCGGAAUUACUGGGCGUAGAGAGCUCGUAGGUGGUUUGUCGCGUUGUUCGUGAAAACUCACAGCUUAACUGUGGGCGUGCGGGCGAUACGGGCAGACUUGAGUACUGCAGGGGAGACUGGAAUUCCUGGUGUAGCGGUGGAAUGCGCAGAUAUCAGGAGGAACACCGGUGGCGAAGGCGGGUCUCUGGGCAGUAACUGACGCUGAGGAGCGAAAGCGUGGGGAGCGAACAGGAUUAGAUACCCCGGUAGUCC
rnacentral:rRNA from 1 species